ACCGUCUGCGUCUGUGGUUGAAAAUCCAAGCCAGGUGCGGGCAAAAGGAUCCACGUAAGCCGUCGCGCAGGAGAUCGGGCGGUGAUCAUGGCGUACCUUAGAAGUAAGUCCUCCGAAAAUCGGGUAAAGGCAAGUGUGGGGGCAAAGACCAGGUCAGGCAGGCGGU
rfam:Firmicutes bacterium CAG:238 genomic scaffold, scf497